GACGAACGCUGGCGGCAUGCUUAACACAUGCAAGUCGAACGGAAAGGCCUUGCUCUUGUGGCGUGCUCGUGUGGCGAACGGGUGAAUAACCCGUGAGUAACCUGCCCUUGACUUUGGGCUAUUUCUAGGAACCUGGGGCUAAUACAGGAUAGGAGCUCCUGCUGCCUGGUGGGGGUUGGAAAGUUUCGGCGGUUGGGGAUGGACUCGAGGCUUCUCAGCUGGUUGGUGGGGUCGUGGCAUACCAAGGCGUCGACGAGUAGUGGGCGUGAGGAGGGGACCGGCAGCAAUGGUACUGAGGAGAGGCCCAGACGACUACGAGGGGCAGCAGUGGGGAAGAUUGCACCAUAAGGGGAGGACUGAUGCAGCAGCGCCGCGUGCGGGAGGACGGACUUCGAGGUGUAAACCACUUUCUCCUUUGGAGAAGCGUGAAUGACGGUAACGGAUAAAGAAGCACCGGCUAACUACGUG
rnacentral:rRNA from 1 species